CAGGACUAGCAAAUGUUCAUGUUGCUCCUGAGGUCCUUCAACACAAUUUAUCUUCACAGUCAGCUUCAGAAAUGAAGAUGAGAUGGAAAAUGCUAUUGAGAAUAUAUGAGAAAUGAACCUUCACUUAUUCACAAGAAGGAAUAAAUGAUAUUGUAGUCAUGGAAAACACCAUGGAAUUUCCUCUAGAAAAUACAAUUACUGCUGUUGUAUGUCUCAGCACAGCUACUUCUGGUUAAAUGCCCAAGAAAAUAAAAUGGC
rnacentral:lncRNA from 1 species